rnacentral:rRNA from 1 species
GACGAACGCUGGCGGCGUGCUUAACACAUGCAAGUCGAACGGAAAGGCCCUGCUUUUGUGGGGUGCUCGAGUGGCGAACGGGUGAGUAACACGUGAGUAACCUGCCCUUGACUUUGGGAUAACUUCAGGAAACUGGGGCUAAUACCGGAUAGGAGCUCCUGCUGCAUGGUGGGGGUUGGAAAGUUUCGGCGGUUGGGGAUGGACUCGCGGCUUAUCAGCUUGUUGGUGGGGUAGUGGCUUACCAAGGCUUUGACGGGUAGCCGGCCUGAGAGGGUGACCGGCCACAUUGGGACUGAGAUACGGCCCAGACUCAUACGGGAGGCAGCAGUGGGGAAUAUUGAACAAUGGGCGGAAGCCUGAUGAAGCAACGCCGCGUGCGGGAUGACGGCCUUCGGGUUGUAAACCGCUUUCGCCUGUGACGAAGCGUGAGUGACGGUAAUGGGUAAAGAAGCACCGGCUAACUACGUG